CCUAUGGGUGGCAGCAGUGAGGAAUAUUGGUCAAUGGACAAGAGUCUGAACCAGCCAAGUAGCGUGAAGGAUGACUGCCCUAUGGGUUGUAAACUUCUUUUAUAUGGGAAUAAAAUGCUCAACGUGUGGGAUUUUGUAUGUACCAUAUGAAUAAGGAUCGGCUAACUCCGUGCCAGCAGCCGCGGUAAUACGGGGGAUCCGAGCGUUAUCCGGAUUUAUUGGGUUUAAAGGGAGCGUCGGUGGAUUGUUACGUCAGUUGUGAAAGUUUGCGGCUCAACCGUAAAAUUGCAGUUGAAACUGGCAGUCUUGAGUACAGUAGAGGUGGGCGGAACUCGUGGUGUAGCGGUGAAAUGCUGAGAUAUCACGAAGAACUCCGAUUGCGAAGGCAGUUCACUGGACUGCAACUGACACUGAGGCUCGAAAGUGUGGGUAUCAAACAGGAUUAGAUACCCCUGUAGUC
rnacentral:rRNA from 1 species